rnacentral:rRNA from 1 species
AUUGAACGCUGGCGGCAGGCCUAACACAUGCAAGUCGAACGAGUGGCGGACGGGUGAGUAAUGUCUGGGAAACUGCCCGUUGGAGGGGGAUAACUCCUGGAAACGGUAGCUAAUACCGCAUACCAUCGGAUGUGCCCAGAUGGGCUUAGCUAGUAGGUGGGGUAACGGCUCACCUAGGCGACGCUCCCUAGCUGGUCUGAGAGGAUGACCAGCCACACGGGAACUGAGACACGGGCCAGACUCCUACGGGAGGCAGCAGUGGGGAAUAUGGCACAAUGGGAGCAAGCCUGAUGCAGCCAUGCCGCGUGUAUGAAGAAGGCCUUCGGGUUGUAAAGUACUUUCAGCGAGGAGGCGUUACUCGCAGAAGAAGCACCGGCUAACUCCGUGCCAGCAGCCGCGGUAAUAC